UGUAAGCACUUUAUUUGGGCAAAAUGUCAUUAAUUUAACUGUAAAUGUUAUUUUCAGUUUUUGUUAGAAUAAAAGAGUUCUGCAGUUGAAAACUGUUGUCUCUCUAACAUUGCAGACUGUAAGACUGUCACAUGAUCACAUAUCUCAGAAACAUAUCUCACUGUCAAGACUUUGGUGGUUAUUUAAAGCGCUUCAUUUUAUUUUGGAAAGUCAGUGUUGCUUCCUGUGCAGUUGUUCACGGCAGGUGUAUUCAGGGUUUAACGGAAGCACAUAGCCCAUUGGUUUAUGACCUGUGGUUACCUGUGGUCACCUGUGGUCAUUUGAAAAUAAA